GACGAACGCUGGCGGCGUGCUUAACACAUGCAAGUCGAACGGAAAGGCCCUGCUUUUGUGGGGUGCUCGAGUGGCGAACGGGUGAGUAACACGUGAGUAACCUGCCCUUGACUUUGGGAUAACUUCAGGAAACUGGGGCUAAUACCGGAUAGGAGCUCCUGCUGCAUGGUGGGGGUUGGAAAGUUUCGGCGGUUGGGGAUGGACUCGCGGCUUAUCAGCUUGUUGGUGGGGUAGUGGCUUACCAAGGCUUUGACGGGUAGCCGGCCUGAGAGGGUGACCGGCCCCAUUGGGACUGAGAUACGGCCCAGACUCCUACGGGAGGCAGCAGUGGGGAAUAUUGCACAAUGGGCGGAAGCCUGAUGCAGCAACGCCGCGUGCGGGAUGACGGCCUUCGGGUUGUAAACCGCUUUCGCCUGUGACGAAGCGUGAGUGACGGUAAUGGGUAAAGAAGCACCGGCUAACUACGUGCCAGCAGCCGCGGUGAUACGUAGGGUGCGAGCGUUGUCCGGAUUUAUUGGGCGUAAAGGGCUCGUAGGUGGUUGAUCGCGUCGGAAGUGUAAUCUUGGGGCUUAACCCUGAGCGUGCUUUCGAUACGGGUUGACUUGAGGAAGGUAGGGGAGAAUGGAAUUCCUGGUGGAGCGGUGGAAUGCGCAGAUAUCAGGAGGAACACCAGUGGCGAAGGCGGUUCUCUGGGCCUUUCCUGACGCUGAGGAGCGAAAGCGUGGGGAGCGAACAGGCUUAGAUACCCUGGUAGUCCACGCUGUAAACGGUGGGUACUAGGUGUGGGGUCCAUUCCACGGGUUCCGUGCCGUAGCUAACGCUUUAAGUACCCCGCCUGGGGAGUACGGCCGCAAGGCUAAAACUCAAAGGAAUUGACGGGGCCCCGCACAAGCGGCGGAGCAUGCGGAUUAAUUCGAUGCAACGCGUAGAACCUUACCUGGGUUUGACAUGGAUCGGGAGUGCUCAGAGAUGGGUGUGCCUCUUUUGGGGUCGGUUCACAGGUGGUGCAUGGCUGUCGUCAGCUCGUGUCGUGAGAUGUUGGGUUAAGUCCCGCAACGAGCGCAACCCUUGUUCACUGUUGCCAGCACGUUAUGGUGGGGACUCAGUGGAGACCGCCGGGGUCAACUCGGAGGAAGGUGGGGAUGACGUCAAGUCAUCAUGCCCCUUAUGUCCAGGGCUUCACGCAUGCUACAAUGGCUGGUACAGAGAGUGGCGAGCCUGUGAGGGUGAGCGAAUCUCGGAAAGCCGGUCUCAGUUCGGAUUGGGGUCUGCAACUCGACCUCAUGAAGUCGGAGUCGCUAGUAAUCGCAGAUCAGCAACGCUGCGGUGAAUACGUUCCCGGG
rnacentral:rRNA from 1 species